rnacentral:lncRNA from 1 species
GCACACACAUGCACAUACACACGCACAUAAACAACCACACACACACAACCACACACCCGCACACACACACACACACCCACACACACACACACACACCCGCACACACAAACACAACCACACACACACGCACACACACAACCACACACACACAUGCACACACACGCACAUACACACGCACACAACCACACACACACAAAACCACACACACAACCACACACAUGCACACACACAGCCACACACAACCACACACACUCAACUGCACACACACCCACAUACAACCACACACACACAACCACACACAUGCACACACACAGCCACACACAACCACACACACACAACCAAACACACACACAACACACACACAUACAACCACACACACGCACACACCCCCACAUACAACCACACACACAGCCACACACAACUGCACACACACACAACCACACACCCACACAAUCACACACACAACUGCACACACAUACAUACAACCACACACACGCACACACACACAACUGCACACACAUACAUACAACCACACACACGCACACACAGAAACACACACACAACCGCUCACAAGCACACACAACCGCACACACAACCACACACAUGCACGCACGACACACACACAACCACACACACGCUCACACACACACACACGCACACACACAUGCACACACACACAAACACACCCCCCACACACACAACCACACACACACGCCCGCACAUACACACACAACCACACACACAUGCACACACAUGCACAUACACAACCACACACACAAAACCACACACACACGCACACACACGUGUAUGCACACACAACCACACACACACAUGCACAUACACACAAAACCACACACGCGCACACACACACGCAUGCACACACAACCACACACACAUGCACACACACGCACAUACACACGCACACAACCACACACACACAAAACCACACACGCGCGCAUGCACACACAACCACACACACACAAAACCACACACACAUAACCACAUGCACACAUACAACCACACACACACAAGCGCACACACACAACUGCACACACACCCAUAUAUAACCACACACACACAAUGACACACACACAAAACCACACACACACACCCACACACGCACACACAACCACACACACAUAACCACAUGCACACACACAACCACACACACAUACAGACACACAACCACACACACACACAAUCACACAACACAACCACACACACAUAACCACACGCACACACAACCACACACCCACCCACAUACAACCACACACAAACAAUCCCACACACACACCACACCCACCCACAUACAACCACACACACACAAUCCCACACACACACAACCACACCCACCCAGACACACACAACGGCACACACACCCACACACAUCCACACACACAAUACAACCACACUCACACAACCACACACACACAAUACAACUGCAAACACACAACCGUACACACACCCACACACACACAAUUCAACCACACUCACACACACAACCACACAACCACAUACACACCCGCACACACACACAACCACACACUACACACACACACACACACACAACCACACACACACAAAACCACACACACGCGCAUGCACACACAACCACACACGCACACAACCACACACACACAAAACCACACACACGCGCAUGCACACACAACCACACACACACACAACCACACACACAUAACCACAUGCACACACACAACCGCACACACACAACUGCACACACACCCACAUACAACCACACACACACAAUGACACACACACAAAAACACACACACACACCCGCACACACAACCACACACACGCACACACAACCACACAUACAUAACCACAUGCACACACACAACCACACACACAUACAGACACACAACCACACACACACAAUCACACAACACAACCACACACACAUAACCACAUGCACACACACAACC